rnacentral:rRNA from 1 species
CCUACGGGCGGCAGCAGUGAGGAAUAUUGGUCAAUGGACGAGAGUCUGAACCAGCCAAGUAGCGUGAAGGAUGAAGGUCCUACGGAUUGUAAACUUCUUUUAUAAGGGAAUAAAAUCUCCCACGUGUGGGAGCUUGUAUGUACCUUAUGAAUAAGCAUCGGCUAACUCCGUGCCAGCAGCCGCGGUAAUACGGAGGGUGCAAGCGUUAUCCGGAUUUAUUGGGUUUAAAGGGAGCGCAGACGGGUCGUUAAGUCAGCUGUGAAAGUUUGGGGCUCAACCUUAAAAUUGCAGUUGAUACUGGCGUCCUUGAGUGCGGUUGAGGUGUGCGGAAUUCGUGGUGUAGCGGUGAAAUGCUUAGAUAUCACGAAGAACUCCGAUUGCGAAGGCAGCACACUAAGCCGUAACUGACGUUCAUGCUCGAAAGUGUGGGUAUCAAACAGGAUUAGAUACCCGGGUAGUC